AUCAUAACCACCAUAACUAUCAUCGCUUGAAUCUGUUUCAAACAAAACAACAAAAUCACCGUAAUCUUCCUCUUCCUCAUCAAACACCAUACCGUGAUACAACAUAUUAAAGCAUUUAGAAUUUGGAUCACGAUAAUGAAGCACGUCAUUUUAUUACAGCCAUCUGAUUUCUAAAAAGACAAAUUGCUUUUUAGAUUGUAGUAAUAAAUUAUUUCGUGAAUAACAGAAUACAAUAAAAAGAAAAUGUUUCUGACCUCAAUAGCUGCAUCGCAUUUAGGACAGUUUUGACUAUUUCUAUCUAUCCAAUUUUCAGACAUAGUAUUUUCGACAAGAGUUUGUAAUUGCUUUUUACCGUAACGUAACUCUAGCUCAGCUUUCCUUUCAUCUGAAGCAUCUACAUAUUCCUUAACAAGAUUUUGUUUUUCAGCUGCGAAAAAAAUUAGAAAAUUUAAUAAUUGAAUUAAAAUUAGGAUCAUUUUAUAUAUCAAUCAAAUAAUGAAUACCUGUGUUAGUUUUACAUGGCUCAAUUCCAUGAUACACAGCUUUACAGAAAAUACAAAAUGCAUACUGACAAACAGGGCAGUGAGCCAUUGUUUCAUCUGGUUCUCUGCUUACUGGAUACUGACAACUUUUACGAGGACAAUAAAUUAUGUCAGUCAUGGUAUCCAAAGUUGUGUUCAGUAAUAUGGAAUCAUAUUUCGAAAAUAACUCAGAGUUUCAGAUUGGAGGAAACCAAUCCAUGUAAACAAUACCUCUUGACCUUUAUUGUUCUCCCACAGUUUAUCUAAUUUCUUACAAAGUUUGGAUAUGGAAGAUGGAUUUAACCAUGAAGACCUAAGUGUAAACUUUGGCGAUGAAAUUGAUGGAUAAUCUGCUGGCAAUGUAACUAAUAAUGUUAACGGUGGUAGACGCAUCGAUAUCGUUACAUUACCAAUAGAUAGUGCGCGCAAGACAAGAUUAUAUGCACCGCAUCGUAAUGUCAUAAAGAGGAAUUAACGUGCUUCCGUGAGAUUUUACGGAGACCCUAAUGAUUGUUGAAAUUUCAUUGCCUAAGACUUACACUUGGUAAAUGCACCUAUCAUGUGAAGAUGAUCGCACGAUAAAAUUAUCGUCAGUGCGUUGUCGAUGGAUGUUGAGGUUAUAACAAUUAAA